AAUAAAAAAUUUAGGUAAAAAUAUUAUUAUUUACUUUAAGACUUAAAAACAUUUUUAAAUCGAGUAGAGGUGAUCUAAAGUUAUUUUAUAAUACCUAAGUAAAAGUACCGCAGGGGAAUAUAAACAAAUUAAUUUAAAGAAAAAAUUAAAUUUUGUACCUUUUGUAUCAUGGUUUAACUAGAUAGUUAUUUUAUAUUUAAAUUUCUCGAAAUCUAAUGAGCUAUUUUUAUUCAAUUUAUUAGAAAAAAGGAUUAAUUGUAGCAAAAAUUUUCCUAGAAAUAAAAAUAGAAAUGAAAUUUUUUUCGUAUUAGAUGAUAGCUAGUUCUUCUAUAAAGGCAUAUAAGUGCUUUAAAUUAAUUUUAUUUUUAUAAUUAUAGUAUAAAGUAAAUUUUAGUUUAAUUAAAUUUUUGAGGAUAAGCUCGAAAAUUGUAAUUAUAUUUGCAUAAUUUAUUUUUAUUAAAAUUUAAGCUUGAAAAUAGCUAUAAUUUUGAUUUUGUUACAAUUUCAUUAAGUGUAAAAAAAGAUAAUUUAUUUGCUAAAGAUAAAAGAAGAAAACUUUAAAACUAAAAUGAGUUAGAUCUAUGUUAAGAUGAGUAUUAUGUUAAAAUAUAAUUUUUAAUAUUAUAUAAUUUAAAGUAUAUUAUUUUUUGCUAACUUAAAAUCAUAAAAAGGAACUCGGCAAAAGUCUAUAUUCUGCCUGUUUAGCAAAAACAUGGCUCCUUGUAAAAAGAAAAUAGGGAGUCGGACCUGCCCAGUGAAGUUUUUUAACGGCCGCGGUACUCUGACCGUGCAAAGGUAGCAUAAUCAUUUGCCUUAUAAUUGAAGGCUAGUAUGAAUGGUUUGACAAGAAUAUAACUGUCUCUUUUUGAUUUUAUAGAAUUUUAUCUAAAGGUGAAGAAGCCUUUAUUAAAUUAAAAGACAAGAAGACCCUAUCGAGCUUGAAAAGAAUAAAGAGGCUAGAUAAUUAAUAAAUUUAAAAAAUUUGCUAUUAAUAAUUUUAGUUGGGGCGACUGAGGAACAAAGAAAGCUUCCUUUAUCAAAAUAAAUACUUACAAAUAUUGAUCCAAAAAUUUUUGAUUGAAGAAAUUAGUUACCGUAGGGAUAACAGCAUUAUCUUUUUUAAGAGUUCUUAUCGAAAAAAGGGUUUGUGACCUCGAUGUUGGACCAGAAUAUCCUAAAGAUGCAGGAGUCUUUAAGGGUUGGUCUGUUCGACCAUUAAAAUUCUACGUGAUCUGAGUUCAGACCGGCGUGAGCCAGGUCAGUUUCUAUCUUUAAUUUCCGCGGUAGAUUCAGUACGAAAGGACCAAUUUACCAUAAUACUUUAUUUAGAAAGAUGAUGUAUAACACUUAAUUUAACUA
rnacentral:rRNA from 1 species